UCAAGGUAUGACUUUCUGCCAAGUCAGUGUGAAGUGGGUCUUUUAUACCAAGAAAAACACUGAGCUAAAAAUCACCAAGCCCCCUAUUUUUUCACAUGCCUCAGAGCAAAGCACAGCACCAGGUAAGAGAGACACUGCUGAGAAAGACACCUGUGGCUAUCCAGUCUGGCAAGAGAGCUCCCAUGCAGGAAGAGGCUAAAUUAAAAAUCAGGGCCUUGAAAGGCUAACAGCCUAGACCUCUGAUUACUACAAUUUAUUCUAACUCACAGCGGGGAUAAGAAUUGUAGUGCGUCAUGCCACCCAUUCUUACCUACACAUAAAACAGCUUUUCAGGUCUCUGGAGAUAUCCUAAUAUCCUGAGAGAAAUACUUACAUGAGUCAGCACAGUACAGAUAGAAAGCACGGGAGAGGCUGGAGAGCUGUUCAGCCCUUUCCCAGCAGGAAUCACGUGGUACGGGACCAACGCAGGCUCCGGAGGUUACAACAGUUCACUGCUUCCUGUUGGGCAACUAUUCCUUAGGCUUUGUUGAUAAACUGCAGUCUUGUGGGAGUUAUUUCCUCAGAGUGAGCACGCAGACUAUGCGGUCCAGAAGGGAGCAAGGCUGCACCUCAAACGGCAGCUGAACUUCGUAAUAUAUGUGGAAACUGGAAAAAUACGGUCCAAGCUGAGGAAUGCCUGGGGCCGCUGGAAGCUAAGAGAGGGGUGCAGCGCUUACUGUCUCCUCCAAGCUUCCAGGAGCCAGCCCUGCUCAGAACCAAACUUUGCAUCAUAGAAGGCUUAUGUACAAGACUACUCAACACAAAUUCUAGAAGCCAACAAUAAUUGGCAUCAUUAGAGAGAAGAACAACACAGAAGCUUUCAAAACAAUGGCAUCUGAAUGACUGGCUCAAGAGGAAUUCAAGAUUCAAUGGUGUUUAUGAACCUUCCCCUCCUCCAGGGAAAAGAGAAGAAAAAAACAGACAAGACUGGCCACCUGACCACAGAGGUGACCAAACCCUGCGAUGACUGACUGGCUGCUUCUGUUUUCCCUCCCUAUAAAAUCUGCUGACUAAAGAUGAGAUGGGAGAUAGGGCUUUAGGACAGGAGGCCAUUAUCUUCUCAUAUUCCUGGCUCUCUGUGUAGAAUACUGCUAAAAGGUUCGAUUUCUGGUUUGUGCGUGUGAUGGGCAGAUUGUGCUACCACGUACAGGCCUACAGUGCUGACAGCAACUAUGAAUUUAGACGUCCUACGAGGAAUAGUACAAGUAACCACAAACUGUUGUGGACGUUUUGGUUUAUGACCUGUAAACAUGUUUUUGUUAACAUUCCAAGUUUCGGGGGAGGGCUUAGUUUGUCCACACCCAUUAAAUGUCUCGUGAGGAAUGUGGUCUUUGCCCAAUGGAAUUGGUUGAAUUCUGGGGUCUUUGAGGGGUAUAAUUAUGACAGCCCAGAGAAAGAAGGCGCCGCUGCUUGGAGGAGGAGUCCUUGCUGCUGGGUCGUCCUGCUGCUGCAUUUGCUGUUUGCUGAUCUGCCGGCUACCUGGACUUCUGAAUUUCUGGACGACUGAUAUUGGUAUUGUCCCCAACAGAAUCCUACGACCCUACCCAGCGAGGAAGUAGCAGAGAGAACUCCAGCCCCCGGCCCCACUAACCUUCUUUCCCUCCUGCCCGCUGCUGAGGGGUUGGAAGGAAUAUAGAAGUGUUUAAUAACCCUAAAUAAGAAGCUGCUUGUCCAGAGGGCGAGUGUGGGAGCCAAGAAUGCCACGCUGAGCACCAUCGAUCACACACCUGUGACCCUUCAAGUGCCUGGCCUGAUGAGCUCUCAGGUGCAGAGGGGCAGUCACCCAACUGAGGUCCUGUGCCUCAUGAACCUGGUGCCGCCUGAGGAGCUGCUGGGCGAUGAGGCGUAUGAGGAGAUCGUAGAGGAUGUAAAAGAGAAGUGUAGCAAGUAUGGGCUGGUCAAGUCCAUUGAAAUUCCCCGGCCCGUGGAUGGCGUCGAGGUGCCUGGCUGUGGAAAGAUCUUUGUGGAGUUCACCUCUGUGUUUGACUGCCAGAAAGCCAUGCAGGGUCUAACUGGCCGCAAGUUCGCCAACAGAGUGGUGGUCACAAAAUACUGUGACCCUGACUCUUACCACCGUCGGGACUUCUCGUGGAGGUGGUCGGGGAGGGUGGGGGCAGGGUUGGCUGGGGACUUUCCCCCCACCUGCCUCCCCCUACUUUCUCCCCUCUGAAGAUGAUGGGCAGAGGAGUGACAGCUGAAUGACAGCCGGCAGCAACUGGAAUGGCAGCCAUUAAGGGGGGUGGGCGUGGGGGGCUCGGGCAGGAAGGGGCUGGGCAAGUGCACACAGGCCCACGCAGAUACACACAUCCACACAGACACAGAGGGACGGGGCUGGGAUGGGGACUGUGUGCACAUCAGGGCGGGUAGGACUCCCACAGCCCCUUCCCAAACAGCCUCUUCUUAUUCCUUACACCUCUUUCCUCCUCCCUUUCCCCAUGGUAGGAACCUAGUGUGUUUAUAUUUUAUGGACAAACUAUUUUGAAUUUCGUUGUCGGCCCUGUGCCCUGCCCUCUCUGCAGGACCACGGCUCCGGUCCUCCGGCUUCUGGUCCUCCCUGUUCUACACCCUGGUUUCUUAAGUAGUUGGUUCUUCCCCUUAGUCUUUUCCUGACCCUCAGUCCGUGGUCUCCGUCCUGCUCCUCCUCUCUAUGGCAGUUUCAUAUUUGCUAAUACGAAUUUGCUCAUUAAACAUUUUCUUGUAUUUUAUUUAUGGAAAAAAAUCAAGGUCAACAACAAAUAGACUCGUUUUCUGAUGUACAAACUCAUCUCACAUAUACAAUAACAAAAUAUUUUGUCAAGGAAAAAUAAUAUAGAUCACAGUUUUAAAGAGAAGGGCUGUGUAAAGAGCAGGGUUUGUGGCUGAGUGAUACAGGUUAAAAAUAGAAAUGUCAAAAGAUUUUAACAGUCACUUUAGAGGCUAACAGUCUACAAUGAAUAAAACAGCAUUUUUUGGGGGGAGGUUUUACAUGUAUUGGAAUUACAUGUCUUUAGCUGUAAGCUUUUGUUGGAGGUUUUAGAUGUAUUAGAAUUACAUGUCUUUAGCUGUAAGCUUUUGCAUAAUACACAAAGUUCAGGGACACAGUAAUAUACCUUUGUAGUACAUAGGUGUUUAUAGUACAUGGGUAAAUAAUUAACUGCACUAAAAUCACUUCAAAUGCUUUUCUUAGAGAGUUAUCAUUUAAAAGACUUUAACAUAAACUUAAAUGAACUCUGGCAUUGUUGAGAUAGGAUCAUAAGUAGUCAAAACUCUAGCAAAAGCACCUGAAAACAUAACCAGGUAUCUUAAUAAGAUAUAAAGUCUUGAUAAUUUUAAAAUGCACAUAAGCACCAAAGUAGAUAUUAAAAUGCCCAAACUCAUAAUAUCAUUUAUAACAAGAUAUAAUUUCUGUUAGGAAUAAAGUAUCCAGUGACAAUUUUUAUUUUCUGACUAGCAUAAUUAUAUCAUCUCAACAUUAGUUAUAUAUGUAUACAGAUAUAUAUAUGUGUAUAAUUUUAGGUGGAGCAAAGCCCAGAAAUCAUGUAACAAUAUUGCCACACACAGGCUAAUCCUAAAAUUAAUCUUUAUUUUUUAUGUUUUAAGGUAGCCUAAUACAAAACAGUUUAGAAAUUUUCAGUAUUUAACAAAAGUAUAUUUUAAUAAUGUAAUCACUUUAUAAUAUAAGAUAUUAAUUAUCUCUCCUGUAAAUUCUAUAACAAGGGUUUUUUUUCUCCACCUCAGUUUUUACCUAAGGCUAUGGGCACUUCCCUCUUUCUUCCUCUGUUUUCUGUGGGCCCCUUUUCCCAGUGCUAGUUUAUACCUAGGAACUUAAAGAAGAUCAAAAGGGGAUUCGAGUGAUUUCUUUUGGAAUGACCAGUUACAAUUGGUGGUGAGACAUAUGGGCUCCACCCUCCUUGAGCUGAGACCAGGCGAUUCUUUCCCCGCUUGUUUUGCUACUUCGAAUCUGCAUCCCUUAAGCCAUUUCUUCUUCUUCGUGUGUACUUAUGUCCCCUGGUCGACCCAUGCUAACUAACUGGAUGCCUAUUAUCCAAAUGACUGAUUACAUACACUCACUCAGUGUUUUCUGUGUGCUUCCAUGUGACAAGGUCAAUGCGUUUCUAAGAAUGGAUUAAGGAGGUAUACCAGACCUCCAUGGUGGGUUCUUUUUGUUUUGAGGCACUAUCUUACAGGCACUAUACACUGGUUAUAAAGGGGACUUAGGGUUUCCCCAGCCAUGUGCUUUCUACAUUAACCAGAAGCCAAAGGCACUGACAUUCUGAGAAGGUGAGACCUGAGGGGCAGCAGAGGGCCCAAUCAUAGGGAAGCACAGAUUCCUGCCAAGGCCUGGACAGCGAAGUGCAGGGUGUUCAAAAAGCUGUAACCGAAGGGAAGGUGACCACAAUAGGUGUUUCUUUGGGAGCACAUGAAGGAACUGGGAAGGAAAAAGCCUUUCAUGACAUUUUGUCCCAGCUGAGCACAGCAUGAAAUGAAAUCAAUAGAUGUGUGAUCCCUGUGCUGACAGACAUUCAACUUGUUAGAAGGCAUCUAAUCCUUAGAAAACAACUUGUUAAAAAUAAGUUAAUUCUAAGGCUGGAGAGAUGGUUCAGCAGUCAGGAACACUUACUGUUCUUACAGAAGACCCAGGGUAUGCUGCCGAAAGCACCUGACUGCGUGUAACCUCCUGUAACUCCAAUUCCGGGGAAUUUGUCAUCCUCUUCUGCCCUCUACAGGCUCCUUCGUGCAUGUGACGUACACGCAUGUACCCACCACCACACACACAUACACAUAAAAUAAAAAUAAAUAAAUAAACAAUAAAUUUUAAAAACC